UGGGUUUAGCCAGUUGGUUAAAGUAAAGGGGUUUGCAAGGAACAACCAGCAGGAAAUGGUCGGAGAGGAAGUUCACCCACAAGGGAAUGAGCCACGGUCCAGAUUAGUCCGGGAGCAGCUAGUGAGGAAUUUUGCACAUGGAGGAAACUCUGAUGCAGCGCCGCCGUGUGAGGGACGAAAGGGCUUUGCGAUGAAACCUCUGUCGUACGGGAAAUAAAGUCUGGUCACCGGACUGGGAAUGUGCCGUCAAAGGAAGGGUCGGCUAACUUCGUGCCAGCAGCCGCGGUUAUACGUAGGACCCAAGCGUUGUUCGGAUUUACUGGGUGUAAAGGGUGUGCAGGCGGAUCUGUGCGUCGAGGGUUAAAGACUUAGGCUCAACCUAAGGGAUGCCCUCGAUACGGCAGAUCUUGAGUGCGAGAGAGGAUAGUGGAAUUCCUGGUGUAGCGGUGAAAUGCGUAGAGAUGUGGAGGAACACCAGUGGCGAAGGCGGCUUUCUGGCCUGUAACUGACGCUGAGGCGCGAAAGCGUGGGGAGCAAACAGGAUUAGAUACCCUGGUAGUCCACGCCGUAAACGAUGAGUCCUAGGUGUUGGAGGUGUCAUGCCUUCGGUGCCGAAGUAAACACAGUAAGCACUCCGCCUGGGGAGUACGCUCGCAAG
rnacentral:rRNA from 1 species